CUGCGAUGAUGACUACUUAGGACACCUUUUUAUUAAUCAUGAAAAGAAUCAAGUAUAUUCUGAGUAGC